rnacentral:rRNA from 1 species
GGCUCAGGAUGAACGCUGGCAGCGUGCCUAACACAUGCAAGUCGAACGGACUCAUUUUGAGGUAGCAAUACGGAUAAAUGAGUUAGUGGCGGACGGGUGAGUAACACGUAGGUAACCUACCCUUUGGAGGGGGACAACUCAGGGAAACUUGAGCUAAUACCCCAUAAGACCACGUACAGAGAUGUAUGAGGUAAAAGUGGCAACACACCGAAGGACGGGCCUGCGGCCUAUCAGGUAGUUGGUGAGGUAACGGCUCACCAAGCCAAAGACGGGUAGCCGGGCUGAGAGGUUGAACGGCCACACUGGAACUGAGAUACGGUCCAGACUCCUACGGGAGGCAGCAGUGGGGAAUCUUGCACAAUGGGCGAAAGCCUGAUGCAGCGACGCCGCGUGGAGGAUGAAGGCCUUCGGGUUGUAAACUCCUUUUCUUGGGAAAGAUGAUGACGGUACCCAAGGAAUAAGCCACGGCUAACUCUGUGCCAGCAGCCGCGGUAAGACAGAGGUGGCAAGCGUUGUUUGGAAUUACUGGGCUUAAAGGGCGAGUAGGCGGUGGAGCAAGUCUGAGGUGGAAUCCUAUGGCUUAACCAUAGAACUGCCUUAGAAACUGCUUUACUUGAGUCAGUGAGGGGAGGGCGGAAUUCCUGGUGUAGCGGUGAAAUGCGUAGAUAUCCGGAGGAAGGCCUGUGGCGAAAGCGGCCCUCUGGCACUGUACUGACGCUGAGGCGCGAAAGCGUGGGGAGCAAACAGGAUUAGAUACCCUGGUAGUCCACGCCCUAAACGGUGGGCAUUAGGUGUAGGGCUCGUAAGGGUUCUGUGCCGAAGGGAAACCAUUAAAUGCCCCGCCUGGGGGAUACGGCCGCAAGGUUGAACUUAAGGAAUUGACGGAA